GAUGAACGCUGGCGGCGUGCCUAAUACAUGCAAGUCGAGCGAACGGACGAGACGCUUGCUUCUCUGAUGUUAGCGGCGGACGGGUGAGUAACACGUGGAUAACCUACCUAUAAGACUGGGAUAACUUCGGGAAACCGGAGCUAAUCCCGGAUAAUAUUUUGAACCGCAGGGUUCAAAAGUGAAUGACGGUCUUGCUGUCACGUAUAGAUGGAUUCGGGCUGCAUUGGAUGGUUGGUAAGUUCACGGGUUACCAAGGGGACGCUGCCUAGCCGAGCGGAGAGGGGGAUAGGCCACACUGGAAGUGAGACACGGUCCAGACUCCUACGGGAGGGAGCAGUAGGGUAUGUGACGCAGUGGGCGAAAGUCUGACGGAGCGACCGCGCGUGUGUGAUGACGGUCUUCGGAUCGUAAAACCCUGUUAUGAGUGAAGAACAUAUUUGGAAGGAGAUGUGCAGAUCGUGACGGUACCGAAUCAGAAAGCAACGGCUAACUACGUG
rnacentral:rRNA from 1 species